CGGGCACACGGGAGGCACAGAGGACGACAGGAGCGCGCGCGUGGAACUCGUCCGUCUCGUCGACCGGGAGGCACCGCUCCGAGUUUAGCGACAGACAACAGACGCUGCGAAGGGUCCGAAUCGCUCGCGAGGAGCCCGCGGCGAGACAGCCGAGACGGACACGUGGCCUUGAAGAGCCUCGGGGAGACGGAUCUCGCGAGUCGCAAGACGGACGGCGGCAUCCGCGAGGAGGCGUCGCGGCCGCGGAAAAGAAAACCGACGGUCGGAGAAGGAUGCAGCGGCGCUCCUCCUACUGCUGCCUGCGGUGGUCGGGGUGGUGGUCGUGGUGGUGCGUCACGCUCACCGCUCUGCUGUCC